AGGACGAACGCUGGCGGCGUGCCUAAUACAUGCAAGUCGAACGGUCUUUCUAUGGAAGCUUGCUUCCACUGGAGAAGAUAGUGGCGAACGGGUGAGUAACGACGUGGGGUAACCUGCCCAUAAGAGGGGGAUAACAUCCGGAAACGGGUGCUAAUACCGCAUAGUUUUCUUGAUCGCAUGAUCGGGAAAGGAAAGACGGCCUUUGUGCUGUCGCUUAUGGAUGGACCCGCGGCGUAUUAGUUAGUUGGUGAGGUAACGGCUCACCAAGACGAUGAUACGUAGCCGACCUGAGAGGGUGAUCGGCCACAUUGGGACUGAGACACGGCCCAAACUCCUACGGGAGGCAGCAGUAGGGAAUCUUCCGCAAUGGACGAAAGUCUGACGGAGCAACGCCGCGUGAGUGAAAGAAGGUUUUCGGAUCGUAAAACUCUGUUGUCAGAGAAGAACAAGUUGGAGAGUAACUGCUCCAGCCUUGACGGUAUCUGACCAGAAAGCCACGGCUAACUACGUGCCAGCCGCCGC
rnacentral:rRNA from 1 species